UGAGGAAUAUUGCACAAUGGGCGCAAGCCUGAUGCAGCAACGCCGCGUGCGGGACGAAGGCCUUCGGGUCGUAAACCGCUUUUCUGGGGGAAGAGCAAGGACGGUACCUCAGGAAUAAGUCUCGGCUAACUACGUGCCAGCAGCCGCGGUAAAACGUAGGAGGCAAGCGUUAUUCGGAAUUAUUGGGCGUAAAGGGCGCGUAGGCGGUGUCUUAAGUGGGAUGUGCAAUCCCCGGGCUUAACCUGGGAACUGCAUCCCAGACUGGGACGCUGGAGUACUGGAGAGGGUGGUGGAAUUCCACGUGUAGCGGUGAAAUGCGUAGAGAUGUGGAGGAACACCAGUGGCGAAGGCGGCCACCUGGACAGUAACUGACGCUGAGGCGCGAAAGUGUGGGUAGCAAACA
rnacentral:rRNA from 1 species